rnacentral:lncRNA from 1 species
AAUAAGUUUCAUCUUCCUCAAAAUGGUGCCCAGGGCUGGUUCCAUCCUCCUGACACUCACUAGUAGGAGAGCUGAAAACCGCGGACAGGGAUGCUCAUGGCCUCAGAACCCUUUGACUUUGUCCAGUGGAGGGGAUGGGACAAGCCCGUGACCAUUCCUUACUCUGGCAGCCUCCGACAGCCUGACACUCCUAUUAGCCCAGGGGAGUAAACAGACCCACAGCUGUCUAUAAAAAGCCGGAAACAGUUCUGUUUCCAUUCAAGGUGGAUGACUGGGGGGUGCGUGGGAGGGGGCGAGGACCGCUACAUCUGGGCGAGGGCGGAGAUGAUCUGCUGCCUCUGACGCUUCUGUUGUUAUCCCGAAGAAGGGCUUUCUUCAUCCUAGAGACUCGGGUUCUUUGUUUCCUGUGGCAGAGUGAUCGUUUAGUCCAGGAUGUAAAGACUGAACUGAAUCCAGAAGUACGUGUUGGA